CGUCCCGGGCGAGGCGGAGAGGAGCGGCCUGACCCGCGGCCUCGGCGCGCGGAGCUAAGAGCGAGGCGGCGGCGGCGGCGACAGGACAAAGGAGACCAUGUGCGGAGGGGAGGAGGGAGAGGGAGGAGGAGUGCGCGCCGCGGCGGCGGCGGCGGCUUCUCCCCGGCGGCUGCCUCGGGCUCCCCGACUGCCGCUCCCGCCUGUCUAGCCACCCCGCGGGCCGACCGGUCCCGGUCCCGCCGCCGCCACCGCCGUCGCGGCGCUGGAGGAAACGCUCCGGGAGUCCUUAUUCGGGGCCGAUCUCUCCGGCGCGCGGCGCUGCAGCGUUCGGGGCGCCGGGCGCACUGCGCGGGGCCCGCGGCGACUCCCGGCCGGAGCUCGCGGGCAGGCGGGCGGGAAGCGCCCGGGGCUGGCUGGGCUUCGGCCCGCGCUCCGCUCGCGGGCGCCUGCCUUUCCCGCCGGCUCGCCGCUCAAGUGAACUCCAUCGGCGGCCGCCGCCGGCGCCGCGGGCUCCCUGGCUGGACGGGUGGCGGGCGGGGGCGGCGGCGGCACGGGGGCCCUGGCUCCGGACUUCGCUCCCCGACUGCGACAAGCGCGCCUGCUCCAGACGCUCGCAGCUCUCGGAGCGGGACUUCCUCGGCGCGCGGAGCCCGAGCCGCCGGUGCCACCGCCCCUCCUCCGUCCCGCCCCGCGCGCCCCGCCCCUCGCCGCCCCUCCCUCGGCCCGGCGCCGGGUCGGCCCCGCGGGGGCGCAGUCCCCGGGUGCGACAUCGACAGCUGUCGCGGCUCCCCCCGCGGCUUGGGCCCGAGGUCCCCACGGCCGCCUUCCCGGCGGGCGGGCGCGGCGGGAACUGCAACGCCCCGCGCCCUCCCCGCAGUUGUCGCCUCCAAUACUGCGCGCGGCUGGGGAAAGCCACUAGGCCCGCGGUCUAGGCCGGUCACGUCGGUAAAGAGCAGGCUCUCUGGGCGGUUCCGAGGGCUCGACGAGAAAGUGAUGUGGGUAAACCGCAUGGCACACAGUAGGUGCUCAAGAGUAGUAAGUCCAUUGUUGAAAAUGAGGGGGCGGGGGUGGUCAGAGUCUAGUAUUAGUAAAAAAAAAAAAAAAAAAAGGGUCUUAAUCCAACCUUAUCUCCACCUGAUCAAAGGCUGGGCUACAGUUUGUUUGGUCUCAAAGGUAACAGUGCAUGGCCUGGCGGUCCACAAAUCCCCACCCCACCGCCCACUUCAAAUACACCGGCAUUUAUACCCUCCCCUCAACAAAAGCUUCCAGGUGGCUCAGUGGUAA
rnacentral:lncRNA from 1 species